rnacentral:rRNA from 1 species
CGUACACAACCUUCCUACAAGUGGGGAAUAGCCCAGAGAAAUUUGGAUUAAUACCCCGUAACAUAUAAAGAUGGCAUCAUUUUUAUAUUAUAGCUACGGCGCUUGUUGAUGGGUGUGCGGCUGAUUAGGUAGUUGGCGGGGUAAUGGCCCACCAAGCCUGCGAUCAGUAGCUGAUGUGAGAGCAUGAUCAGCCACACGGGCACUGAGACACGGGCCCG